ensembl:lncRNA
GCUGUAUUUCAGCUCUUCUAGUAACUCCUGGUUGCUCACAGCAUAAAAUCUAAUGGUCCCCAGUCAAACGUUCAGAGGUCUUCUGUGGCCUGUUCCCCAGCUCAAACUGGGCGACUGCAGACACACUGCCCUCACCCAUCUCCAUUCAUUGCCCAAACCUUCUAGUCGCCACCUGUUCACAUCUGAGCUUUCUAGCAUUUUAGAAAUUUUAGAAAGAGGUCAAAUGUUCUUUCAUCCACUAGUACUUCCAACUUUCCUUGUAGCCAAACAUUUUCUCUUACUCCUUAGAACUGCCACUGAAUUUGGUCCUUUUUGGAACUUAAGAGCAGUCAUCCUUAUUAGGAUUGAGUAUAUCCUAUUGCCCCUAAUAAAUUAUUACUUGAGUUAUUACUUUUUUGAGGACUGGAUCUGAGCGUUGUGGUUUCUACCUAGGAUCUAUUAACAUAUAUUUGUUUAUUGAAUAUAGUGAUGGUUGUUACAACUUGGAACUUUUCAGCCUCAGUUGAAUAUGGAGGAAACACUUUUUGGAUACUCUCUGCACUGAGAGGCAUGCUAAGUGCUUUCACAUACAUUAUCUCUUCUAAAAGUGUCAGUCACUUGGUCAUGUCCAACUCUUUGCAGCCCCACAGACUAUAGCCUUCCAGGCUCAUCUGUCCGUGGAAUUCUCCAGGCAAGAAAACUGGAGUGGGUUGCCAUGACCUCCACCAGGGGAUCUUCCUGACCCAGGGAUAGAACCUAGGUCUCGUGGAUUGCAAGCAGAUUCUUCACCAUCUGAGCCACCAGGAGAGCCCUUUUUAAAAGAUUCAUGCAACUCUCCCUCCUCAUUUUGUAGAUGAAGCUCAGUGAAGCCAAGUAACCUGUUUGAAGUCACAUGGCUAUAACUGACAAAUGGCAAGGCAGAGCUAGAAGUGGAACCCUGAUUUCCAUCUCCCUAUCCAGUGGUACUUCAUGAAUCCUGGGGAGCCCUAUUGAUGGUGGUCCCUACAGAGAUGACAGCAGUCAACGAAAAAAACACCACAGGGCCUCUAGACACAGCUUCUGGUUUCUGCUCAGUAACUCAUUUUCAGGUAGACACGAAGGCACAGGGGACAAGAGACUAAGCUCUCUUGCAACUCGUUCUCUUACAACAGCAGUUUAAAGACCAGCUGGAAGCCCCUGAUGCAGUUGGUCACUAAUCUUCACUUGGUACAAAUAAUUUUUUAUGCAACGUCGAACUUCGAAAGUCAAGGACUUAAAGACAUGGACUUGUUUUUCCCCAGGCAUUACAGAGGGAUAAUUUGCAAAACUGUAAGAAGGAUGUAGAUCAUACACUCUAUACACCACCACGUCAGAGACAUGAACUUUGUGGAAGGAAAGCCACUUGGCAGUUCUUGGCCAGUGUAGAGAUAGUGCUUAUUUCAUUUUAUAUUCCAUAGUUUUGUUCUUUAUUAUGUUAAA